GCCCGGGUCCUGUAAUCCUUAUGGGUGACCAACCUUGUGCCUCCGGGAGAUCCACACUCCCACCUGGAAACACGCGGGAAACCAAGCCGCCAAAAAAGCGCUGUCUUUUAGCUCCAAGGUGGGAUUAUCCAGAAGGAACUCCUAACGGAGGUAGUACCCCUCUCCCUUCCGCACCUACUCCUGCAUCACCGGGCCUGAAGUCGCACCCACCUCCUCCGGAGAAGUAGUACAACACACUUCUCCCACCCCAAACCAGGAAGCACAGAGGAUGAACCAAGUCAUUCUGCCUGGUAGUAAUCAUGAUCCAUCAAAGAGGAAGGGGUAACUUUGGGUGGGCCUUAAAAAGUGAGUGAUGUCUGCCAUGUGGAGGGGGAGGGAAUGCUUUUCUUCGGGCCUAGCAUUUCCAGAACAAAAGCUCCAAGGCAGGUUUGUUCUAGGAAAAGCUUGGCUAUAAUUCUGAAUCUAUGAGAAUAAUUAGGAGGUGAAAUAGAGUAUUGCAGAGCCUUGAAUGAUAUGCUAACGAGUAUGCAGUUUAAUCCCUAAGUAGUGACAACCAUUGAAGAGUUUCAAGAAAGUGAUAUAUUUUAGGAAUCCCGUUCACUGUUAGAAAAAAUCUUCGAUUUAGAUGAACUUAUAGGAUGCAAAAAAUAAAAUCUGAUCCAAACCUCACAAAUUCUUGUAAUCCGAAAGGGCAUCCUUUCCUCAUUCAUGCGGUAAACCCUUAAGGAGCCCUUUCAAUGGACUAGGCAUUGUGCUAGGAGCUCUACGGAAUGGAUAACCAAAGCAUAUAGGAGUGAAACAGUGGCAGCUAAGGGGGUUCCAGACUUGGGGUUUGAUAGUGGUGCAUAGAAAAAGAAUGAGCUCUGUUGUGCUUGAAAGUAUUACCCAGUCACAUUCCUUACAGCCUGAUUUCCCUCAACUUCACCUCUGUCCAAAGGGUGGUGGUGUGGGAGUAGUGGGAAACCAUAGGGAUAGCACCGCUCAAACAGAAAAUGAAGUUGUUUAGGUCAAGAAGUGCAAGAGCUACAUAAUUGCCUCCAGUGAUUCAAAUCAUUGAAAAUUAUACUAAUAGCGAAUAUUUACUGAACAUCUUUAUGUGCCAGGCACUGGUCUACAAUGCCUCCCAGAGUUUGUUCUCUUAAUUGCUAAGCAAUAGUUCCCUCCUAAUACUGUCUAUAUAACUUUUUUUGGGGGGGGGGAGUAUGUUAGAGCAUAGGGAUUUGAGGAGGCCAGGGGAAAGAGAUAAACAGUAAAGAAGAAAUGAUUUCACUUUAUUUUACUAUUUUUCAGUCUUUGAGGGAUUGCAGUAUGACUCUAUUUCCUUGGUAUAUGUGCUGCCGAAGCAAGCACCUGACUCUGUUUCCUUAGUGCAUUCAUAAAAUAGUUCACUCAGUGAAGACAAUGAAGAUUAUUGACAAUGCUACCCUGCUUUUUCUGAUGUUCUACACCAGGAAGUUGUGAUUUUUAAGGUAAUCUCUUUACCAAAAACUUAUUAAAAGAGGGAGAAGAAUAAGAGUUGAUUAUGACACAUUAAAAAUAACUACCCCAGAGUUCCUUUGUGGUGCAGUGGGUUGAGGAUCUGGCGUUGUCACUGCAGCAGCUCAGGUGGCUGCUGUGUUGCAGGUUCGAUCCCUGGCCCUGGAAUUUCCACAUGCCACAGGCAUGGCCAAGAUAAAUUUUUAAAAUGAAGAAAUAAUUACUCAAAAACAAAAAGCUAGCACCAAAUGAUAAAAUUUAAAUCAUUUCUACAUUAUAUGAAACCAUAUGUAUAUACCAUAUAAUAAUGUUAUAUAUAAGCUGUUCUGUUAGAUUCACUCCUAAUUACCUUAUGGUUUUUGCUGUUACUGUGAAAUACACUUUUUAAACCACAUUUUCAGAUUAUUGCUGGUAAAUGGGAACAUGAUUGAUUUUUUUUAUUUACAUGAUUGAUAUUUUUAUAUACUGAUGUUAUAUACCGUAACCUUUCUGAAUUCUAUUUGUUCCAAUAAUUUGUAGAUUCUUUGGAUUGUAUGUUAAUUAGUCAUAUUGUGAAUAACGACAGUUUCUUCCUUUCCAAUAUUGGCUUUUUAAAUUUGCCUUACUGUGCUAGCUAGAGUCUUCGGUACAAAAAGAAAUAGUGGCAGUGGUAGAGGAUUUCCUUGUCUUGCUUCUGAAUAUACAAGGGGAUUCUAUACGUGUUUACCAUUUUUAGUAGGUUUUCUUUUUCAGGUUAAAAAAUUUCCUUUGUAUUCUUAGUUUGCUGAGAGCUUUUAUUAUGAAUGAAUGUGGAGUUUUAUCUCCAAAUACUUUGUAUCUACUCCCCGAUCAUAUGGGUUUUUUUUCCUCCAUUAAUACGACAAUGUGACUGUGUGAUGAAUUACAAUAAUCGAUUUUCUAAUAUAUUUCCUUCUUUUGGUUUCAUCAGUCCUCACCAUUUAAUAUUUUGUCUAUUUUAAUAAUUUUUCCUUUUAUUUUUUCUUUACUAUUUGUUUGCUGUAUUUCUAAUCGAUUUAUUUUAAAUCUUUCCUAAAAUAAGAAUUUAUAACUAUAAAUGUUCUACUAUGUACCACUUUAGAAGAAUUUCACAGGAUUUUAUGUGUACUAUUUUAUUAUUAUUUCCUAAUUUCUUUUAUGAUUUCUUUUUGAUUCAUGAAUUAUUUGGUUCUUUAAAAAAUUUACAGACAUAGAGGUCUCUUUUUUAGAAAUCAUAUUGUGACAUCAUUAAUCCAGUUAUAGUUAAACUUUAUCUUUUUUUCUGCUUUAAAAUAUUUAAUGUGUUUUAUUCAUCUGGUAACAUAAAGCAAAUUUAUAUACUGGCUUCUCAUCCCAAAAGAUUUUAGCAAUAUAAAACUUUUUCUUCCAUUAAAUGGAAAACUGUGAUUAUUCUAUUCAGUGAUGGAGUUAUUGCUCAUAUUUAUACAUGUGUUAUUAAACUUUUUGUUUUAAUCUAAUUUUAUGCUUAAAGAAAAAUUGUGAGAAUAUUACAAAGAAAUCCCAUAUACCCUUUACCUAGACUCACCAAUUACUAUUUUUCCAUGUUUGCUUUAUCAUUCUCUAUUUCAGUUUGUGUUUCUCCCUCUCGUCCCAUUUUUUCCUCCCCUCCUCCCCCAAUCACUUCCCCUCUCUUCUACUUUCUCCUCUUCCUUUCUCAACUAUUUGAGAGUAACUUGCAGACAUCAUGCUCCUUUAUCUGUCAAUACUUCAGUGUAUGUUUUCCUCCAAAUGAUGCCAAUCUCUUACUAACUUCAGUACAUGUGUCAAAAUAGAAAUUUCACAUUGUUUCAAUUUUUUGUUUCAUAAACCUUUAUUAUCAAGAUUAUAUACUUAUACUCACUGAAAAAGGAAUGUGUUUGGGAGAACAUGUAUUUCAAAUGGAUAAUGUAAGGUCUAUUUUUGUUCCUUUUUUCCAGCUUCAUUGAAACAUUUAACAUAUAGUGUUGUAAGUUUAAAGUGUACAGUGUGAUGAUAUGCUACAUGUAUAUAUUGCAAAAUGAUUACCCACAAUAAGAUUAGUUAACACAUCAGUCAUCUCACAGUUAUGAUUUUUUUUGUGUGCGGUGAGAACUUUUAAGACCUCUCUCCUAGCAACUUUUAAGUAUACAAUACACAAUUGUUAACUACAGUCACUGUACUAUAGUAUUAACUAUACUAUAACUAUAGUUAUAUAACUAUAUAUACUAUAACAGUAGCAUUAAUUAUAGUAUACAUCAUGCUGUACAUUAAACUUCCAGAAUGUAUUUAUGUUAAAACCAAAAGUUUAUUUUAUUUUAUUUUUUUAAUUAUUUCCCCAAUACAAUUACAACUGAAAGUUUAUACCCUUUUAUCACCUUCACCUUUCCCCCACCCUCCCAACCCCUGGAAACCACCAAUCUACUGUUUGUGUGAGUUCAGACUUUUUUUUUUAUGUUCCAUAUAUAAGUGAAAACAUACAAUAUUUUUCUCUCUCUGCUAACUUAUUUCACUUAGCCUAAUGCUCUCAAGUUUUAUCUAUUAUGUCAGAGAUGGCAGGAUUUCCUUCUUUAUAUAGCUGAAUAAUAUUCCACUAUAUAUAUAUAUAUAUAUACACACCACAUUUUCUUUGUCCAUUCAUCUCUCAGUGGACAUUUAGAUUUUUUCCACAUCUUUGUUAUUGUAAAUAAUGAUGCAGUAAACAUAAAGGUUGAAAAUAUCUCUUUGAGAUAGUAAUUUCAUUUCCUUCAGAUAUAUCGAGGAGUAGAAUCGCUGGAUCGUAUGAUAGCCCUAUUUUAAUUCUUUUUUUUUUUUUAGGAACCUUCAUACUGUUUUCCAUAGUAGAUAUUUCAAUUUACAUUCCUAUCAAGGAAUGUGCAAGGGUUCCCUUUUCCCUGUAUCCUCACCAGCAUUUAUUACCUUCUGUUUUUGUUAAAGCCAUUCUAUCAAGUGUGAGAUAUCUCAUUGUGGUUUUGACUUGCUUUUCUCUGAUGAUUAGUGAUGUUGAGCACCUUUCCAUGUACCUAUUGGCCAUCUGUAUGUCUUUGAAAAAAUGUCUGUUCAAAUAUUUCUCACCUUUUUGAGUUGGAUUGUUUUUCCACCGUUGAGUUGUAUGAGUUCCAUAUAUAUUUUGGGUAUUAAUUUCUGAUCAGUUAUGUGGUUUAAAAUACUUCCUAUUCCAUACUUUAUUUCAUAAAUAUGCUAUUUCUGUCAUUUAUUUUAAUGAUCAAAUUGUCCCAGUGGCAAUCCAUUCAAGCUGGAUUCUCUAUGCAUUUGACACAUUCCCAUCAUUCUUUGAUACAUACUUUGACUUCAGCAUUUCCUUACUUUCUUGUCUUAUAUUUCCUGCUUCAUUAACCAUUUCAGGCUUGUCUUAUAUUUCCUGCUUCAUUAACCAUUUCCCUAUGAAUUUAUGGUACUUUUUAGAGGGACAUGGUAUUUAAAAACCAAGACAAAAAAUACAUUGAUUUUUUUUUAAUUUUUUAAAAAUUUUUAUGCAAUUUUAAAGAUUACUUUCCAUUUACAGCUAUUACAAAAUAUUAGCUAUAUUCCCCAUACUGUACAAUACAUUCUUGAGCCUUUCUUUACCCUCUAGUGUACACCUCCCAAUUCACCACCACUAUAGUACCCCUCCCCUCUCCUCCCGCUGGUAACCACUAGUUUGUUCUAUCUAUGCAUCUGCCCCUUUCUGCUCUUUUAUUGUUAGUGUAUAGAAAUCUAGCAGAUUUCUGUGUAUUAAUUUUGUACCCUAUGACUUUACCAAAUUAAUUGAUGAGCUGUACUAGUUUUCUGGUGGCAUCUUUAGGAUUUUCUAUAUAUAGUGUCAUGUCAUCUGCAAACAGUGACAGUUUUAUUUUUUCCUUAGGGUAUAUGGAUAUUUUCUAGCUUGACAUUAUGUUAUUCUUUCCCAUUUAAUUACAUUUUGUACAAACAAUGUAGUUUACAUGAUACUGACUAUAUAGUAUUUAUUGAGACAUGCUUUAUGUUCUAGAGAACAUUAUCAAUUUAUUUGUGCCUGAAAAUGUUUUGUAUAUUCUAAUUGUUACAUGUGCACUCUGUAAAUGUCCAUCAAACUUGCUGACUGUCUUGUCAGCAAGAGUGACAUUAAAAUUAUCUUUUAUAUCACUCUUAAUUCUGUUUGUUUGCUAGAUCUUUCAAUUAUUGAGAAAGAUUUAAAAUCUCCCAGUGAUGGAGUUCCUGCUGUGGUGCAGUGGGAUUGGCGGCCUCUCUGGAGCAGCACUGGGAUGCAGGUUUGGUCCCUGGCCUGGCCCAGUGGGUUAAGGAUCUGGUCUUGCCACAAUUGUGGUGUAGGUGGCAACUGCAGCUCAGAUCUGAUCCCUGGCAUAGGAACUCCAUAUGCUGUGGGGUGGCCAAAAAAAAAAAA
rnacentral:lncRNA from 1 species